rnacentral:rRNA from 1 species
UACAGGGGGUGCAAACGUUGCUCGGAAUCAUUUGGCGUAAAGCGCACGUAGGCGGUCUGUUAUGUCGGAUGUGAAAGCCCUUGGCUCAACUGAGGAAGUGCAUCCGAAACUGGCAGGCUAGAGUACUAAAGAGGAUCGCGGAAUUCCCGGUGUAGAGGUGAAAUGCGCAGAUAUCGGGAAGAACACCCGUGGCGAAGGCGGCUCUCUGGGCCGAUACUGACGCUGAGGAGCGAAAGCGUGGGGAGCGAACAGG